AAACAAAAAGUGCAGUGCAUGCACCCCUUG
rnacentral:tRNA from 1 species